rnacentral:lncRNA from 1 species
UAUUGUUUGAGACCGGUUUUGGGGUAAAUCAAGUUUUUUUUUUCUUAUUUUAAAAUGUCAUCUUGAGCAGAAUGAAGUCUGGUUUUCAUCAUAAAGGUUUUGCAUUGGAGAAGGAAAACCAGUAUUACCUGUUUGAAAUAAAGGACAAUAGCAAGUCUGAUGUUAAGGUGGGAGGUAUUUCCAUCCAAAGUUUUCUACCUUCACUUUCGAUCAACGGUGUAAUAAAUUUUAUUAAAAGUCCAUUGAAUCAAUUAAGCUUGAACUUAACUAAAUCUUAACUUUUUUUCCACAAAUCAAGCGAAAUUGAAAAAAAUAUAAUUUGAAAUUUGAUAAAAUAUUACAUAUAAAAAGUUUAAUAACGUCAAAGAAAUUAAUCGUUCGUAAAGACAUUUUUUAAAAACCUCUUUAAUAGUUUGAAGUGCAUUAAAAAAAAAAAAAAAACAGU